GUGUCAGCAGCCGCGGUAAAACGUAGGACGCGAGCGUUAUCCGGAUUUACUGGGCGUAAAGCGCAUGCAGGCGGCCUUGUAAGUCGGAUGUGAAAUCUCCCGGCUCAACUGGGAGGCGUCAUUCGAUACUGCAAGGCUUGAGGGCAGGAGAGGGGAGUGGAAUUCCCGGUGUAGUGGUGAAAUGCGUAGAUAUCGGGAGGAACACCAGUGGCGAAGGCGGCUCCCUGGCCUGUACCUGACGCUAAGAUGCGAAAGCGUGGGGAGCGAACGGGAUUAGAAACCCCGGUAGUCCACGCCGUAAACGAUGCGGACUAGGUGUGGGAGGUAUUGACCCCUUCCGUGCCGUAGCUAACGCGUUAAGUCCGCCGCCUGGGGACUACGGCCGCAAGGCUAAAACUCAAAGGAAUUGACGGGG
rnacentral:rRNA from 1 species